AUGCACGCUGGCGGCGUGCCUAAUACCUGCAAGUCGAGCGCACAGACGAGGAGCUUGCUCCUCUGACGUUAGCGGCGGACGGGUGAGUAACACGUGGAUAACCUACCUAUAAGACUGGGAUAACUUCGGGAAACCGGAGCUAAUACCGGAUAAUAUAUUGAACCGCAUGGUUCAAUAGUGAAGGACGGUUUUGCUGUCACUUAUAGAUGGAUCCGCGCCGCAUUAGCUAGUUGGUAAGGUAACGGCUUACCAAGGCAACGAUGCGUAGCCGACCUGAGAGGGUGAUCGGCCACACUGGAACUGAGACACGGUCCAGACUCCUACGGGAGGCAGCAGUAGGGAAUCUUCCGCAAUGGGCGAAAGCCUGACGGAGCAACGCCGCGUGAGUGAUGAAGGUCUUCGGAUCGUAAAACUCUGUUAUUAGGGAAGAACAAAUGUGUAAGUAACUAUGCACGUCUUGACGGUACCUAAUCAGAAAGCCACGGCUAACUACGUG
rnacentral:rRNA from 1 species